CCCUUAGAAAACAGGAGAUAUGGACGAAGAGAAUCAGUUGAGUUCCCAACAGCAUAACACCCAAAGACAUUUGAUAAUGUUUUCGAUCUGUUUUCCAAGCUUUGCCCUGACCUAGCUUGGCAUUUUCACAGAGCCCACAGAGCUUUAGAUCAUAUGCAUUAUUUUAUGCAUGGCGUGUAAAUCAUCUCAUUCCCCCCACUCAACAUCCAUGAGGUUAGACUUUUUUUUGUACCCCAAAAUUGUCUGACAUACAACAAUACACAGAAAUGAUCACAGAAUCUAUGCUUUCCUCCAAUAUAACGGAACUAGCAAAAGCAAAACGGUCGUGGCUUGCACAUGGAUUUUUAGUCUAACGAUAUGGAUACAACUGGAGACUUUGAUGACUCACUAGGUGGGAGGAUGGGUGUGUUUAAAAGACUUCACGCUGUAUACUGGGAUUACACUUGAGAAAGGGCUAAGCCCGAAACAUGUCGUGUGAUUUGUAAUCAAUAAAAUAUUUUUCUAGCCGUAACUGCUAUCUGAGUGCUCUCCUCUAUACUACAGAAUUUUGAGUCUACAUAGGAUUGCGGUAAUCCUUUGCUACAGAUCGAAGCAUUGAGGAAUGUGUUUAUUCACACAACAUGUUUCGGGCUACCUACCCUUUAUCAAGUGUAAAGCAUACAUUCAGGUACAAACAUUUAAAGGUGUAUACAGGAAGUGAAGUCACCCAGAACAGGUGUGUCAAAUAACAUUAGAAGAAGCUGCUGCUCCUCUAUUAUAAAAGGUGAAGUGAUGCGACACCCUACACAGGGAACGCUGGUCAGUUUAAAACACUAUGCAACUUGCAACACAAGUAACGUGGUUUACCUCCUUCGAUGUCCGUGUUGGAUAACAUAUAUUGGUCAGACAGCAAGAGCAGUUAAAAUAAGCAUCAAAGACAAAGGAAAUAUAUAUACGGAAGUACAAAAAGGGAACAGCUACAGAGACUACAGUGUCUAGACAGUUUAAUGAAACAAUAUGAAACAGAGGUUAUUACACAGAGAAGCCUAUUGGAUCAACCAAAAGGUAUGAAUGAUAGCUGGAGUUUAACAUGUAUCCUUUAACUCUGUCACAAUAAAUAGAUCCUCUGAGGAAGCCGAUUGCCUCAGCGAAACGCGUCAGGCGAAGGUGAUGUUACGGUAAGCUGCAGGGGAGAACCACGAAGGAGAGAAAGAUGCCGGCAAAAUCUCAUUUUUCUUUUUUCUAACUGAACUGGGGAAACCUGCUAGAAACUUUCGUAUGGUGACUAAUCCUCAUGGAGAUAAAUAUCAUGUCUAAAUCAAAUGGACAACAAUCAGAUAUUGGUGACUGCCUUAGCCAGGAAUAGAACGGAAAGGGUUCCUUCAAAUAACAGGGUAGGCUUGAAGGGCAGUACCUGAGAUCAAGUUUGACUUUUAGUAUGUUUUAUCUGGAUAGAAUGGAAAUUAAUUUGUUACACAUGGUGGACACUUUGUUGCGGAACUUCACCUCCCCUCCCUUUUGGAUGGACUAAUCACUUUGUAUCUGUUGGGGAUUCAUUUAACAAUGACUAUUACCCACUUAGCAGGAUUUGGAGACACAGCUGCAACUAAUUGAAGGGGAGGAGUUGGAGGUGGUUACAUUGUUGGUGUUUUGUUAUUUAUGCUCACUUUUAAUUGUACCACUCACACUUGGAAAAGGGUUCUACACCCGAAACAUGUCAUGUGAAUAAAAGCACUUUACAGUAAA